rnacentral:rRNA from 1 species
UACGAAGGGGGCUAGCGUUGUUCGGAUUUACUGGGCGUAAAGCGCACGUAGGCGGCUUGGUAAGUUAGAGGUGAAAGCCUGGAGCUCAACUCCAGAAUUGCCUUUAAGACUGCCGAGCUAGCAGGUGAGAGAGGUGAGUGGAAUUCCGAGUGUAGAGGUGAAAUUCGUAGAUAUUCGGAAGAACACCAGUGGCGAAGGCGGCUCACUGGCUCAUACUGGACGCUGAGGUGCGAAAGCGUGGGGAGCAAACAGG